AUGUGUGUGAGCGUGUCUGUAUAAAAGAUCCAAGGACAGAGGUGUAGGAAGAUAGUUAGCUUCAAACAAUCAGUAGUAAAUAUAAAAAACAGUU